AAGUCGUAACAAGGUAACCGUAGGUGAACCUGCGGUUGGAUCAUUAUUAAAUGAUUUUCCGGGUGUGAGGUCCUAGUGAACUCCACCCGGGAGCAACCACCUUUGUGAAAUGUAACGUUUUUGGGUCAAGAAAGUGGAUGUCUUCGCGGGGCUUUAAAACCCUGUUUAAAUAUCUGCCCGACUGGCCCGCCUUUUUAAAAAACCCCUUUAUAAUUUUGUCUGACUUUUGUAUUCUAUGAAUCAAAAACAACUUUUAACAACGGAUCUCUUGGCUCUC
rnacentral:misc_RNA from 1 species